rnacentral:rRNA from 1 species
GACGAACGCUGGCGGCGUGCUUAACACAUGCAGGUCGAACGGAAAGGCCCUGCUUUUGUGGGGUGCUCGAGUGGCGAACGGGUGAGUAACACGUGAGUAACCUGCCCUUGACUUUGGGAUAACUUCAGGAAACUGGGGCUAAUACCGGAUAGGAGCUCCUGCUGCAUGGUGGGGGUUGGAAAGUUUCGGCGGUUGGGGAUGGACUCGCGGCUUAUCAGCUUGUCGGUGGGGUAGUGGCUUACCAAGGCUUUGACGGGUAGCCGGCCUGAGAGGGUGACCGGCCACAUUGGGACUGAGAUACGGCCCAGACUCCUACGGGAGGCAGCAGUGGGGAAUAUUGCACAAUGGGCGGAAGCCUGAUGCAGCAACGCCGCGUGCGGGAUGACGGCCUUCGGGUUGUAAACCGCUUUCGCCUGUGACGAAGCGUGAGUGACGGUAAUGGGUAAAGAAGCACCGGCUAACUACGUG